GAUGAACGCUGGCGGCGUGCCUAAUACAUGCAAGUCGAGCGAACGGACGAGAAGCUUGCUUCUCUGAUGUUAGCGGCGGACGGGUGAGUAACACGUGGAUAACCUACCUAUAAGACUGGGAUAACUUCGGGAAACCGGAGCUAAUACCGGAUAAUAUUUUGAACCGCAUGGUUCAAAGGUGAAAGACGGUCUUGCUGUCACUUAUAGAUGGAUCCGCGCUGCAUUAGCUAGUUGGUAAGGUAACGGCUUACCAAGGCAACGAUGCAUAGCCGACCUGAGAGGGGGAUCGGCCACACUGGAACUGAGACACGGUCCAGACUCCUACGGGAGGCAGCAGUAGGGAAUCUUCCGCAAUGGGCGAAAGCCUGACGGAGCAACGCCGCGUGAGUGAUGAAGGUCUUCGGAUCGUAAAACUCUGUUAUUAGGGAAGAACAUAUGUGUAAGUAACUGUGCACAUCUUGACGGGACCUAAUCAGAAAGCCACGGCUAACUACGU
rnacentral:rRNA from 1 species